rnacentral:snoRNA from 1 species
CUUGUAACAGGUACAAAGAAGCCAGAGGCUCAUUUACCCUGAACUCUAUUACAUGAGUUUCAGGAUUUUCUGAAGCCUCAGUUG